AGUGAACGCUGGCGGUAGGCCUAACACAUGCGAGUCGAACGGCAGCACAGUAAGAGCUUGCUCUUACGGGUGGCGAGUGGCGGACGGGUGAGGAAUACAUCGGAAUCUACUUUUUCGUGGGGGAUAACGUAGGGAAACUUACGCUAAUACCGCAUACGACCUACGGGUGAAAGCAGGGGAUCUUCGGACCUUGCGCGAUUGAAUGAGCCGAUGUCGGAUUAGCUAGUUGGCGGGGUAAAGGCCCACCAAGGCGACGAUCCGUAGCUGGUCUGAGAGGAUGAUCAGCCACACUGGAACUGAGACACGGUCCAGACCCCUACGGGAGGCAGCAGUGGGGAAUAUUGGCCAAGGGGCGCAAGCCUGAUCCAGCCAUACCGCGUGGGUGAAGAAGGCCUUCGGGUUGUAAAGCCCUUUUGUUGGGAAAGAAAAGCAGCAGGUUAAUACCCCGCUGUUCUGACGGUACCCAAAGAAUAAGCACCGGCGAACUUCGU
rnacentral:rRNA from 1 species